rnacentral:rRNA from 1 species
AGCCUACGGGACGCAGCAGUGGGGAAUAUUGCACAAUGGGGGAAACCCUGAUGCAGCAACGCCGCGUGAGUGAAGAAGUAUUUCGGUAUGUAAAGCUCUAUCAGUAGGGAAGAAGGAAGACGGUACCUGACUAAGAAGCCCCGGCUAACUACGUGCCAGCAGCCGCGGUAAUACGUAGGGGGCAAGCGUUAUCCGGAUUCACUGGGUGUAAAGGGAGCGUAGACGGCCGUGCAAGCCAGGAGUGAAAGCCCGGGGCCCAACCCCGGGACUGCUCUUGGCACUGUGCGGCUGGAGUGCGGGAGGGG